rnacentral:tRNA from 1 species
GCACAAGCUUUCGUCCCCGACCGCCUCGAUAGAGCGUCGGUCUACGGAACCGAAAGUCGGAGGUUCGAAUCCUUCCGGAUGCG